rnacentral:misc_RNA from 1 species
AUCGACGUAGCCCGCGAGUUCAUCUGCAUGCGUGGCCUGUUGCCUGUUGCAAGACGCGGCCGCAUGAUGCAGCCACGCCGCGCACGUAUACAUCGUUCGUCACGCUUUUUCACGCGCUCGUUCAAACACGCGACACGCCAGUCUGUCGGUCCGCCGAACAUUAAUCCCGCACGUCCGUUGGACAACGAUGGUUCCGCGAGCUAUCGAUGGGCUUUAACAAAUCGAACCGGGCUAUGGGAAAAGAAGAUAUCGCUCGAGAUCAGAUUUCAGAGAAAUGAAAAACAUUGUAGGUGUCUAAAGAAUAAAAUAUUUUCGACGGAGAUAGAAGAAUUUUUCUCACAAUUUGGUUCUUCUUAUCCCGAAGUAAACUGGAGAAUUUGAUAUUCGGAAAUGAAUAUCUGAUAAAAAGAGAAAAGGCGCCAAUUCUCGUCUACUCUGCCCUCUAUGGCGGUCCGUUAAAACACUCAACACACUAUCGAAAAGAUUCCACGUCUCGAUAGCUCCACAGAUAACUCGA